AAACUAAUAGUUUAAGAUCACAGAAAUUUAGGAAGAGUCCAUUCAAACCUGGCAUAACCAAAGCCUAGCCACAAAAUCCUAAUCUUGCACCAAAACUAUAUACUAUUUGAAAAAAAAUAAAAAUGCUAUGAUUAUAUAGAUAAAUUUGAUGUAGCUAGAAUUAUUUUUAUUUUAAUUUACAGGUUAUGUUCGAUGGUAGAUCUACUGAAAUUUGGGUGGCCCACACAAUUUUGGAUCAUUUUGGAUGGAUCUAGACCUAUUUUUAAAGCUUGA
rnacentral:lncRNA from 1 species